GGCAAAUUCCUUUUUGCCUCAUGCACAACAAUUUAGCUGCCCUGUGACCUUGCUGUUCUUCUCUGAGCCUUGCCUAUCUCACAUUUUACCUUAAACAGUUUGUUAAGAAAUAUGAUCGGUCAAGGAAAAGUUCUUCCUUAAAAUCAUGCUUUUUCCCAUCUCAUUGUGUUUUUUUUUUGUUGUUGUUCAUCCCUUCAUUCAACAAAUAUUUACUUAAGUAUAUAAUGUGCUAGAUACUCUAUGCUGGGUGAUAGGAACACAAAAGUUAAUCCACGGGUCCUUACCCUGAAGCACUCGGUCUUGGUGGGGAAGCCACACCCUGUCCUAGGAAGGUAUUUUAUAGUACUUAGAGAACACAGUGGAGGGAAUGGCUGUAACAGAUCUGGGCGGUAGACUGCUACCUCUGUAGGUGUGGGGAGGGUUUUAGUCAGAUAUUUCAUUGCUGAAACCAAAGGAUUCGACACAAAACAAUAGAGGAGGAAAGGUUUAUUUGGGGACUUAUGGUUUCCAAGAUCUCAGUCUCUAGACAGCUGAUUCUAUUGCUCUUCCUGAAGUGAGACACAUAUCACAAUGGAAGAUUGUGAUGGAAGAAAGUGAGUCAGGACAUGGUCACCAGGAAGCAGAGAGAAAUUUCGCCUCUCACCAAGGACAAAAUAUAUAUACCCAAAAGAUGCCCCAAUGACCCACCUCCUCCAGCCACACACUACUUGUCUGUGGUUACCAUCCAAGUAAUCCCUACUAGGGGAUUAAAUUAGGUUAAAUCUCCC
rnacentral:lncRNA from 1 species